rnacentral:rRNA from 1 species
AUUGAACGCUGGCGGCAUGCCUUACACAUGCAAGUCGAACGGCAGCGGGCCUUCGGGUGCCGGCGAGUGGCGAACGGGUGAGUAAUGCAUCGGAACGUGCCAUUGAGUGGGGGAUAACGUAGCGAAAGUUGCGCUAAUACCGCAUAUUCUGUGAGCAGGAAAGCAGGGGACCGCAAGGCCUUGCGCUCUUUGAGCGGCCGAUGUCAGAUUAGCUAGUUGGUGAGGUAAAGGCUUACCAAGGCGACGAUCUGUAGCGGGUCUGAGAGGAUGAUCCGCCACACUGGAACUGAGACACGGUCCAGACUCCUACGGGAGGCAGCAGUGGGGAAUUUUGGACAAUGGGGGCAACCCUGAUCCAGCCAUGCCGCGUGAGUGAAGAAGGCCUCGGUUGU